CCCGACACCAGGGGCACCGCGUGCAGCCGGUGAAGGACACUGCCCACGACUUUCGGGCCAAGUGCAGGAACAUGGAGCAUGCGCUGCGGGAGAAGGCCAAGGCCUUCUGGGCCAUGCGGCGCUCCUACGAGGCCAUCGCCAAGCACAAUCAGGUGGAGGCUGCAUGGCUGGAAGGCCGGAUCCGGCAGGAGUUUGAUAAGCUUCGCGAGUUCUUGAGAGUGGAGGAGCAGGCCAUUCUGGAUGCCAUGGCCGAGGAGACAAGGCAGAAGCAACUUCUGGCCGAUGAGAAGAUGAAGCAGCUCACAGAGGAGACAGAGGUGCUGGCACAUGAGAUCGAGCGACUGCAGAUGGAGAUGAAGGAGGACGACGUUUCUUUUCUCAUGGUAAGGAGCUCAGCGUCUGGAUUCAGUGACAGGGCCAGAU
rnacentral:sRNA from 1 species